rnacentral:rRNA from 1 species
UACGUAGGGUGCGAGCGUUUAAUCGGAAUUACUGGGCGUAAAGCGUGCGCAGGCGGUUUUGUAAGCCAGAUGUGAAAUCCCCGGGCUUAACCUGGGAAUGGCAAUGGAUACUGGCAGGCUAGAGUGCGGUAGAGGGUAGUGGAAUUCCCGGUGUAGCGGUGAAAUGCGUAGAGAUCGGGAGGAACACCAGUGGCGAAGGCGGCUACCUGGACCAGCACUGACACUGAGGCACGAAAGCGUGGGGAGCAAACAGGG